rnacentral:lncRNA from 1 species
UUCAUUCAGGAUGAUAGUUUACUUUUUUAUUUGCAAUUUGGGAUGAGCAUUUUGGGCACUCAUAUUUCCUAUUUUAUGAGUCAUAAAAGCAAAGACAUCAAUAUCAAGGACUAUGUUUUCUCAUGUGCAAUUAAAGAGUCAGUGUUUAGCAUCACACGUGACCUCUAGUUAGCACUUCAAAGACACAUCAUAAAUGACAAAUAGCUUCAAGAAUGAAUGAAACAAGAUAAUAAGGCAGAAAGGGUGUCUGCCCAAUGUUGUGUUAUGUGUUGACUUGUCCCAAGCUAUUGUUCUCACCCACAGGAACGCACACGGGACACAAGGAUCCUUCUGCAGCUAAUCUUUAUUACAAAUUGAUGAGGAAGACAAAGAGCCUCAGAAAAGGGGCUGCUUAUAUACCCCCUUGUGUGGCGUGUCCACGCCUGAAUGGUUGCUUACCCACGAUCUCAUAUACAUGUCCUGGGGAUGGGCUAGUGACUUGGCGCACUUUUACUCCUUGCACAUGUGCACACAGCUUGAUCUUUGUUUAGGUGGCAUAAGGCACUGUGAAAGCCGGCAUCAUCUUAUGAUGGUAAAUGUUAUUGAGGCUCUCCACAUUGACUUGUUUUAUGUGUUGACCUAUAUUAAGCUUACAACCAGGUUAUUGAAAUGUGAGCAGAAUGUCCCUACAUUAGUCUUCUAGGCCACACUAUUUCUAAAAACAUGAUUUUAAGCAUUUUAUAAUUGUACUCUUAAAGAUAAUUUUAAAAUGAUUAUCAAUUAAAUUCUGUCUUACAUUCUUUUUGAUAAGUUGAACAGCUAUAGUACCACAACAGAGAUGUUUUUGUAGGCUGUUGUUCUUACCUUCAGUGGCCCCAGGAGAGAAACAAAGGUUUCUUAAUUAAUUAAAGGAAUAUAAGUGUCAUAGGUUGUAGUUACCAAAGCAAAAUAGAAAGAAAAAAGAAAAAAUACAAAUGGUCUAAGAUAGCAUACUGAAACUCAUUUCAAAAGGUAUGAAAACACAGUCCCCUGUUUUCUUUCUUUCUUUUUUUUUUUUUUUUUUUUUUUGCUGGUGGGCGGCAGUCAAUGCACUUGCUAAUAGUGUGUUUGGAUUGUCUGAGGUCAGGCAUUAACUCUGCAGCACUUCUGCUCUGAAUACAUUUGUCCACAAAUUCGAGUUCAUCUCCAGCACUCCCUUCCACCCUCUAUAUUACCUUGGUAACAGAAAUUGUAUUUCCCUGAUGUUUUUAAAGUUCCAGACAGUCAAAAGAAUAGCACCACUUUAAGUAAGGAUGAUACAUGUGAAAAGUAGGAUGCUUCAUUAUGAUACUAAAUUCCUCAUAUGAAAGGAUUUUAUAAGCAAAUGGUCUACAAAUAGAGGUUUAUAAGGGAAUGUGUAUAGUCUUUAGGAGCAGAGAUUAUUAUCUCCAAAAGUAAAGCCUACCAGCAAUAUUAGCUACUAGAAAAUUUUAAAAACAGUCUUUUAUAAUAUUUAAUUCUGGAAAGGUAUAUAAUUUUGAAACAUAAGAACAAAAAUAAAUUUUCCCAGUUAAGAACUAGAGUGGUGUCCACAGAGCUUCUUUCAGUGUCCCACGUUGUUCCUAAGCCUCUUCCAGCAACUAAGAAGAGAGCGUUCCUGGUCACAUAAAGGGCAUGAGUUAUUUCAUUGUAUGGGUUUCACAGACCUACCAUCAUAUUUUAAAUAUUCUUAUAUACAUUUAAAGCCAAUAUUGUAUUUCUUUUCUUUUUUUUCAGUAAUACUUGAGAAUUUUAUUUGAAUAUUGUAUUUCUAAAUUCAUACAUUUUAACGUCUAUCUUCCUACCAAUGUUGUAGUAUUUCCUUGUGUAGAGAUAAUCAUGUGCUUACGAUCAUCCUGAAAAAUUUAUCAUUAUUUUGGCCCUACUUUGAAUAAUACAUAAUGAUUAUUUAUGUCAGUGUGCUCUAAUACACGUUAUAUAUGUGUGAGUAUGCAUGUUUAUGUAUUAUAUAUACACAUAUGCAAUACAUAUACCACACAUGUGCAUAUAGAUAUAGUCUUCAAUACAGCUUCAGGUUUUGCAAAGUAAGUGACAAUUCAUUUUGCAUUAGUUGUCUGGCAUUGCUACC